GGGCCACCAUGGCUCAGGGCAGUUCAGGGUGGCUCGGGGCUACCCAUGUUUCAGGGCGGUUCGGGGCUGCCCGCGGCUCG